GGGCCUAUUAUUAACUCCUAGAGUUCCUCGGCGUUAUCAGGAACCAUUCUGCCUUGAGAUCCAAAAGGAAACAAGAUUGGUCAGAUGUUCCAAGUAAAGAAACAACUUGGAGAGCCCAUGCUGCAGCCCUGCGGUUGAUGAGAAGUCAAGCUGGUCAGGCUGGAGGGUUAGGACCAUUUGGAAGUUGUAAGGUGUGGGGCAAUUUAGACCCAGGAAACACUGGGCCCAUUUCAGGAUCUCCAGACGUGAGCGACAUUCGCAAGACUUCAAAUUACAGUAAAUGGGAGGUCCCUUCCAUUUGAGAGACUAAGAGAGGAAGCAAAGGAGCACUAUGUUCAAAUGGGAGGGGGGGUGCCUCUUUGUAUAAAAUGGAUGGGAAUAAAUUGGAUAAUCUGGUCUGUAUGAGGCACCCUUUAAAAUGGGAGGUAUAGGGAUAUUGUAGUAUGGGUGGUCCCUUUUGGUAUCCUGCCAAUUGUAACGUCCU